GAAUUCGCCCUUAGAGUUUGAUCCUGGCUCAGGACGAACGCUGGCGGCGUGCCUAACACAUGCAAGUCGAACGGAGAUAAAGAUUUCGGUUUUUAUCUUAGUGGCGCACGGGUGAGUAACACGUGAAUAACCUGACCCAAAGAGGGGGAUAACACCUGGAAACAGGUGCUAAUACCGCAUAAGACCACAAUGUCGCAUGACGAAGGGGUCAAAGAAAAUCGCUUUGGGAGGGGUUCGCGUCCCAUUAGGUAGUAGGCGGGGUAACGGCCCACCUAGCCGACGAUGGGUAGCCGAGCUGAGAGGCUGAUCGGCCACACUGGAACUGAGACACGGUCCAGACUCCUACGGGAGGCAGCAGUGGGGAAUAUUGGGCAAUGGGCGCAAGCCUGACCCAGCAACGCCGCGUGAGGGAAGAAGGUUUUCGGAUUGUAAACCUCUGUCGCAGAAGACGAAGGAAGUGACGGUAUUCUGUGAGGAAGCCCCGGCUAACUACGUGCCAGCAGCCGCGGUAAUACGUAGGGGGCGAGCGUUGUCCGGAAUUACUGGGCGUAAAGGGAGCGUAGGCGGUCUGAUAAGUUGGAUGUGAAAUACCCGGGCUUAACUUGGGGGGUGCAUCCAAUACUGUUGGACUAGAGUACAGGAGAGGAAAGCGGAAUUCCUAGUGUAGCGGUGAAAUGCAUAGAUAUUAGGAGGAACAUCGGUGGCGAAGGCGGCUUUCUGGACUGCAACUGACGCUGAGGCUCGAAAGCGUGGGGAGCAAACAGGAUUAGAUACCCUGGUAGUCCACGCUGUAAACGAUGAAUACUAGGUGUAGGGGGUAUAAACUUCCUCUGUGCCGCAGCAAACGCAAUAAGUAUUCCGCCUGGGGAGUACGGCCGCAAGGUUGAAACUCAAAGGAAUUGACGGGGGCCCGCACAAGCAGCGGAGCAUGUGGUUUAAUUCGACGCAACGCGAAGAACCUUACCAAGGCUUGACAUCCACUUAAAGUUAUGGAAACAUAAUGUCCCUUCGGGGGAAGUGAGACAGGUGGUGCAUGGUUGUCGUCAGCUCGUGUCGUGAGAUGUUGGGUUAAGUCCCGCAACGAGCGCAACCCCUGUUGCCAGUUGCCAGCAAGUAAAGUUGGGGACUCUGGUGAGACUGCCGGGGACAACUCGGAGGAAGGUGGGGAUGACGUCAAAUCAGCACGGCCCUUACGUCCGGGGCUACACACGUGUUACAAUGGGGGGUACAGAAGGCCGCUACCUGGUGACAGGAUGCCAAUCCCAAAAACCUCUCUCAGUUCGGAUCGAAGUCUGCAACCCGACUUCGUGAAGCUGGAUUCGCUAGUAAUCGCGCAUCAGCCAUGGCGCGGUGAAUACGUUCCCGGGCCUUGCACUCACCGCCCGUCA
rnacentral:rRNA from 1 species